rnacentral:lncRNA from 1 species
AUUUUUUGUUGUUGUUAGUAUGUUUUCAUCUUAGAAUUUUCUUUGCUGUAACUCUUUUCUUAUCCAGAAAUGUUCUUAGUCUCUGAUUAUCCCAUGAAUGACUGGUGUUCUUUCCUGCCAUUCAGAUCUUACCUUAAAUUGUCACUUCUACCAAGAAGCUUUCCUGACAACACAAUCUAACAAAUCUGUUUAGGACUUCCUCCAUAACAUCUCUAAUUUUCAGCAUGGGAUCCAUCUGACAUUUCUUCCCUCUUUCCAUUCUUUCUUCACUUCCUCCUUUCUGCCCACCUUUCCUACUAGAUUUCAAGUUCCAUGAGAGUUAGAACCUUGACUGUCUGAUGUCCUAUGGUAGCUUCAGCACAGAGGAGAGUAAGUGAUUCUUAAUAUUCCUCAGUAAAUAUUUUAAUUAAAUUAUAAAUAGAUGGAUAUUUGCUGCAUUAACAAUUACUUCUUAAAUGUGCUUGUUUUGUUGCCAAGCUUUUAACUUUUUUGUUUGUUUGUUUGUUUUUUGCACUGUAUCAAAGAGGAGCCAUUGAAGAAUACUGUUGUCCUAUCCCAGAAGGAGCAAGCGGACAACACUGAUAUCCUGACCACUAACCAUCCAGCACCACUUAAAGAGGUCCCAAAACCCCCAGCUGUCUACCAAUACCCGUCUGUGGCCUCUUAGGAACCGAGCUUCACAGCAGGAGGUGAAUGGUGGACAAGCGAGCAUUAUCGCCUCAGCUCCACCUCCUGUCAGUUUUAAAAAGAAUAACAGAAAGAAAGAAGUGGCUGAAACCUAAAUGCC